AGAGUUUGAUCCUGGCUCAGAUUGAACGCUGGCGGCAGGCCUAACACAUGCAAGUCGAGCGGAUGAAGGGUGCUUGCGCCCUGAUUCAGCGGCGGACGGGUGAGUAAUGCCUAGGAAUCUGCCUGGUAGUGGGGGACAACGUUUCGAAAGGAACGCUAAUACCGCAUACGUCCUACGGGAGAAAGCAGGGGACCUUCGGGCCUUGCGCUAUCAGAUGAGCCUAGGUCGGAUUAGCUAGUUGGUGGGGUAAAGGCUCACCAAGGCGACGAUCCGUAACUGGUCUGAGAGGAUGAUCAGUCACACUGGAACUGAGACACGGUCCAGACUCCUACGGGAGGCAGCAGUGGGGAAUAUUGGACAAUGGGCGAAAGCCUGAUCCAGCCAUGCCGCGUGUGUGAAGAAGGUCUUCGGAUUGUAAAGCACUUUAAGUUGGGAGGAAGGGCAUUAACCUAAUACGUUAGUGUUUUGACGUUACCGACAGAAUAAGCACCGGCUAACUUCGUGCCAGCAGCCGCGGUAAUA
rnacentral:rRNA from 1 species